UACGUAGGGGGCAAGCGUUGUCCGGAAUCAUUGGGCGUAAAGCGCGUGUAGGCGGCCCGAUAAGUCCGCUGUGAAAGUCCAGGGCUCAACCCUGGAAUGCCGGUGGAUACUGUCGGGCUCGAGUCCGGAAGAGGCGAGUGGAAUUCCUGGUGUAGCGGUGAAAUGCGCAGAUAUCAGGAGGAACACCGAUGGCGAAGGCAGCUCGCUGGGACGGUACUGACGCUGAGACGCGAAAGCGUGGGGAGCAAACAGG
rnacentral:rRNA from 1 species